rnacentral:rRNA from 1 species
UGCGGAAGGAUCAUUAAAGAGUAAGGGUGCUCAGCGCCCGACCUCCAACCCUUUGUUGUUAAAACUACCUUGUUGCUUUGGCGGGACCGCUCGGUCUCGAGCCGCUGGGGAUUCGUCCCAGGCGAGCGCCCGCCAGAGUUAAACCAAACUCUUGUUAUUAAACCGGUCGUCUGAGUUAAAAUUUUGAAUAAAUCAAAACUUUCAACAACGGAUCUCUUGGUUCUCGCAUCGAUGAAGAACGCAGCGAAAUGCGAUAAGUAAUGUGAAUUGCAGAAUUCAGUGAAUCAUCGAAUCUUUGAACGCACAUUGCGCCCCUUGGUAUUCCGAGGGGCAUGCCUGUUCGAGCGUCAUUACACCACUCAAGCUAUGCUUGGUAUUGGGUGCCGUCCUUAGUUGGGCGCGCCUUAAAGACCUCGGCGAGGCCUCACCGGCUUUAGGCGUAGUAGUAAUUUAUUCGAACGUCUGUCAAAGGAGAGGACUUCUGCCGACUGAAACCUUUUAUUUUUCUAGGUUGACCUCGGAUCAGGUAGGGAUACCCGCUGAACUUAAGCAUA